rnacentral:lncRNA from 1 species
UUGAAACCCCGUAGUUUACAUCAUGGUACAAAGACAACGAGCACAGCAAAUUCCUUCUCGGUUGAAACCCCGUAGUUUACAUUAUGGUACAAAGACAACGAGCACAGCAAAUUCCUUCUCGGUUGAAACCCCGUAAUUUACAUCAUGGUACAAACUGAAACCAAUGCGCGCUCACAUCCGGACCUCCUACAGAUCGAACAGUUCGGGACCGACGCCUCACUUGCCGGGCACGAAGUUGGUGGCGUAGGCCCAGGCGUUGUUGUUGACGGGGUCGGCGAGGUGGUCGGCGAGGUUCUCGAGCGGGCCCUUGCCGGUGACGAUGGCCUGCACGAAGAAGCCGAACAUGGAGAACAUGGCGAGGCGGCCGUUCUUGAGCUCCUUGACCUUGAGCUCGGCGAAGGCCUCGGGGUCGUCGGCGAGGCCGAGCGGGUCGAAGCUGCCGCCGGGGUAGAGCGGGUCGACGACCUCGCCGAGCGGGCCGCCGGCGAUGCGGUACCCCUCGACGGCGCCCAUGAGCACGACCUGGCAG